rnacentral:rRNA from 1 species
GAUGAACGCUGGCGGCGUGCUUAACACAUGCAAGUCGAACGAAGCAUAUCUACGGAGCUCCUUCGGGAAGGAAGAAGGUAUGACUGAGUGGCGGACGGGUGAGUAACGCGUGGGUAACCUGCCCCAUACAGGGGGAUAACAGUUAGAAAUGACUGCUAAUACCGCAUAAGCGCACAGUAGCGCAUGUUACAGUGUGAAAAACUGAGGCGGUAUGGGAUGGGCCCGCGUCUGAUUAGCCAGUUGGCGGGGUAACGGCCCACCAAAGCGACGAUCAGUAGCCGACCUGAGAGGGUGACCGGCCACAUUGGGACUGAGACACGGCCCAA